rnacentral:rRNA from 1 species
UACGGGGGGAGCAAGCGUUGUUCGGAUUUACUGGGCGUAAAGGGCGCGUAGGCGGUAGCACAAGUCAGUUGUGAAAUCUCCGGGCUUAACUCGGAAAGGUCAACUGAUACUGUGCGACUAGAGUGCAGAAGGGGCAACUGGAAUUCUCGGUGUAGCGGUGAAAUGCGUAGAUAUCGAGAGGAACACCUGCGGCGAAGGCGGGUUGCUGGGCUGACACUGACGCUGAUGCGCGAAAGCCAGGGGAGCGAACGGG